rnacentral:rRNA from 1 species
GGGUUGUGAGGUUAAGCGACUAAGCGUACACGGUGGAUGCCCUGGCAGUCAGAGGCGAUGAAGGACGUGCUAAUCUGCGAUAAGCGUCGGUAAGGUGAUAUGAACCGUUAUAACCGGCGAUUUCCGAAUGGGGAAACCCAGUGUGUUUCGACACACUAUCAUUAACUGAAUCCAUAGGUUAAUGAGGCGAACCGGGGGAACUGAAACAUCUAAGUACCCCGAGGAAAAGAAAUCAACCGAGAUUCCCCCAGUAGCGGCGAGCGAACGGGGAGCAGCCCAGAGCCUGAAUCAGUGUGUGUGUUAGUGGAAGCGUCUGGAAAGGCGCGCGAUACAGGGUGACAGCCCCGUACACAAAAAUGCACAUGCUGUGAGCUCGAUGAGUAGGGCGGGACACGUGGUAUCCUGUCUGAAUAUGGGGGGACCAUCCUCCAAGGCUAAAUACUCCUGACUGACCGAUAGUGAACCAGUACCGUGAGGGAAAGGCGAAAAGAACCCCGGCGAGGGGAGUGAAAAAGAACCUGAAACCGUGUACGUACAAGCAGUGGGAGCACGCUUAGGCGUGUGACUGCGUACCUUUUGUAUAAUGGGUCAGCGACUUAUAUUCUGUAGCAAGGUUAACCGAAUAGGGGAGCCGAAGGGAAACCGAGUCUUAACUGGGCGUUAAGUUGCAGGGUAUAGACCCGAAACCCGGUGAUCUAGCCAUGGGCAGGUUGAAGGUUGGGUAACACUAACUGGAGGACCGAACCGACUAAUGUUGAAAAAUUAGCGGAUGACUUGUGGCUGGGGGUGAAAGGCCAAUCAAACCGGGAGAUAGCUGGUUCUCCCCGAAAGCUAUUUAGGUAGCGCCUCGUGAAUUCAUCUCCGGGGGUAGAGCACUGUUUCGGCAAGGGGGUCAUCCCGACUUACCAACCCGAUGCAAACUGCGAAUACCGGAGAAUGUUAUCACGGGAGACACACGGCGGGUGCUAACGUCCGUCGUGAAGAGGGAAACAACCCAGACCGCCAGCUAAGGUCCCAAAGUCAUGGUUAAGUGGGAAACGAUGUGGGAAGGCCCAGACAGCCAGGAUGUUGGCUUAGAAGCAGCCAUCAUUUAAAGAAAGCGUAAUAGCUCACUGGUCGAGUCGGCCUGCGCGGAAGAUGUAACGGGGCUAAACCAUGCACCGAAGCUGCGGCAGCGACGCUUAUGCGUUGUUGGGUAGGGGAGCGUUCUGUAAGCCUGUGAAGGUGUGCUGUGAGGCAUGCUGGAGGUAUCAGAAGUGCGAAUGCUGACAUAAGUAACGAUAAAGCGGGUGAAAAGCCCGCUCGCCGGAAGACCAAGGGUUCCUGUCCAACGUUAAUCGGGGCAGGGUGAGUCGACCCCUAAGGCGAGGCCGAAAGGCGUAGUCGAUGGGAAACAGGUUAAUAUUCCUGUACUUGGUGUUACUGCGAAGGGGGGACGGAGAAGGCUAUGUUGGCCGGGCGACGGUUGUCCCGGUUUAAGCGUGUAGGCUGGUUUUCCAGGCAAAUCCGGAAAAUCAAGGCUGAGGCGUGAUGACGAGGCACUACGGUGCUGAAGCAACAAAUGCCCUGCUUCCAGGAAAAGCCUCUAAGCAUCAGGUAACAUCAAAUCGUACCCCAAACCGACACAGGUGGUCAGGUAGAGAAUACCAAGGCGCUUGAGAGAACUCGGGUGAAGGAACUAGGCAAAAUGGUGCCGUAACUUCGGGAGAAGGCACGCUGAUAUGUAGGUGAGGUCCCUCGCGGAUGGAGCUGAAAUCAGUCGAAGAUACCAGCUGGCUGCAACUGUUUAUUAAAAACACAGCACUGUGCAAACACGAAAGUGGACGUAUACGGUGUGACGCCUGCCCGGUGCCGGAAGGUUAAUUGAUGGGGUUAGCGCAAGCGAAGCUCUUGAUCGAAGCCCCGGUAAACGGCGGCCGUAACUAUAACGGUCCUAAGGUAGCGAAAUUCCUUGUCGGGUAAGUUCCGACCUGCACGAAUGGCGUAAUGAUGGCCAGGCUGUCUCCACCCGAGACUCAGUGAAAUUGAACUCGCUGUGAAGAUGCAGUGUACCCGCGGCAAGACGGAAAGACCCCGUGAACCUUUACUAUAGCUUGACACUGAACAUUGAGCCUUGAUGUGUAGGAUAGGUGGGAGGCUUUGAAGUGUGGACGCCAGUCUGCAUGGAGCCGACCUUGAAAUACCACCCUUUAAUGUUUGAUGUUCUAACGUUGACCCGUAAUCCGGGUUGCGGACAGUGUCUGGUGGGUAGUUUGACUGGGGCGGUCUCCUCCUAAAGAGUAACGGAGGAGCACGAAGGUUGGCUAAUCCUGGUCGGACAUCAGGAGGUUAGUGCAAUGGCAUAAGCCAGCUUGACUGCGAGCGUGACGGCGCGAGCAGGUGCGAAAGCAGGUCAUAGUGAUCCGGUGGUUCUGAAUGGAAGGGCCAUCGCUCAACGGAUAAAAGGUACUCCGGGGAUAACAGGCUGAUACCGCCCAAGAGUUCAUAUCGACGGCGGUGUUUGGCACCUCGAUGUCGGCUCAUCACAUCCUGGGGCUGAAGUAGGUCCCAAGGGUAUGGCUGUUCGCCAUUUAAAGUGGUACGCGAGCUGGGUUUAGAACGUCGUGAGACAGUUCGGUCCCUAUCUGCCGUGGGCGCUGGAGAACUGAGGGGGGCUGCUCCUAGUACGAGAGGACCGGAGUGGACGCAUCACUGGUGUUCGGGUUGUCAUGCCAAUGGCACUGCCCGGUAGCUAAAUGCGGAAGAGAUAAGUGCUGAAAGCAUCUAAGCACGAAACUUGCCCCGAGAUGAGUUCUCCCUGACUCCUUGAGAGUCCUGAAGGAACGUUGAAGACGACGACGUUGAUAGGCCGGGUGUGUAAGCGCAGCGAUGCGUUGAGCUAACCGGUACUAAUGAACCGUGAGGCUUAACCUUACAACGCCGAAG